rnacentral:rRNA from 1 species
CCUACGGGGCGCAGCAGGUACGAAAACUUUCCAAUGCCUUAACGGGUGAGAAGGGAACCCUGAGUGGUUAUACAUAGUAUAAUCUUUUGUUUUGCCUAAAGAGCAAGACGAAUAAGUGGUGGGUAAG